rfam:Salmo salar isolate Sally breed double haploid chromosome ssa03, whole genome shotgun sequence.
AAUGCACCAAUUUGUGAGUCGCUCUGGAUAAGAGCGUCUGCUAAAUGACUUAAA